CGGCGAUGGGAAUCUGCAAUGUAAUCACCAUAUUCACCCUACGGCUGUCAUCUGUUCUUGACUCUGCCCUUUAAAGGACGUUUGAGUGAUAGAAACGCACAAUGCGUUUGGAAAAGGCACCGAAUGGAUUGCAAGGCGAACACAGGAACGCCAUUUACUUGACCCUCAGCGUUGAGGAACGUCGCAAUCGAAUGGACUAGGCACAUCUUCUGCAUCCGCUACUAGCGGGAGCCAAUUCGUCAGCGAUAUAUAAGUCAUCAGGCCAAAUUUAACGAUUACUGAAGCGUUGCUCUAAUUAGGCCUGAGCCAUGCGAGUUAUUUCCUAUUAGCCGCUUCACCAUAAUGGGGGUGUACAGCAUAAAAUUCAGUAACAGCAGGGCACUUGUUGUGCAUUAUGAGGUCAGCGAGCUUUCGAGGACAUCAAUCCCAGAAGCGCUACUUGAAGUACCGAGCUAUGAUGUAACAGUGUUUUAAUGUUGCCAGUAAAUCGCUCUAUUUGCUGAAGUGGCUGAGCAGAACCAGCCUGAUGCCGAACCAUUUCCUUGCAUCGAAUAUACAACGUCACAAUUAGGAUGGGAGUACAUGAUGACAUGCAAUCAUAGCAUUUCGAUGGGUCUGUUGAAAACGCUCGGUAGACGGAGACACUAUAGAGUCUAACUAGAGAAUGACCAUCUAGUAUUCAUGGCUGUCGAACAACGUGAGCUAACUUACCACUCCGAACAAAAAAGGCGGGCUUAUUAUUCACAGUUUUUGUCUCCCAGCCAAUAAGACACAAGUACUAAAGGAAACAGGUUCGUUAUGUCCUAUGUUUUUUUUGAAGCUAUUAACUUUCUGUUAGACCUCUUGACGGAUUGUUCAUUACAUCUGUACUCUUGUCUUUUGUAGCUUCUAAUUUUUCUAUCAUCCUUUAUCAAAAAAAAAAUGUACGAUCUCUCAAGAGAAGUGCUUGAAUACUAAAUGGUAAGCUCGAAACAAAAUAGAACGGGAACAGUGAAUAUAUAACGCAGACGAAGCGUAUCGAAGAGUGGGGAAACCCGAAAAAAUUAAGUAGAAUUAUUCGCGAAUUGCGCCUUCCUUUGCUAUCGGUGUUUCGGGACACAUAAAAAAUCUGCUGUAUCAAAAAGUAUUAUUAAAAAAAAACAGGACCAGCCCGGUGAGGGCGUAAAGAACGGCCUUUUUUAAUUCAAGGACAGCUAAACUAUUUA